UACGUAGGGUGCAAGCGUUGUCCGGAAUUAUUGGGCGUAAAGAGCGUGUAGGCGGCCCGAUUAGUCUGCUGUGAAAACUCGAGGCUCAACCUCGAGAUGUCGGCGGAAACCGUCUGGCUAGAGUCCGGAAGAGGAGAGUGGAAUUCCUGGUGUAGCGGUGAAAUGCGCAGAUAUCAGGAAGAACACCUAUGGCGAAGGCAGCUCUCUGGGACGGUACUGACGCUGAGACGCGAAAGCGUGGGGAGCGAACAGG
rnacentral:rRNA from 1 species